GUGUCAGCAGCCGCGGUAAUACAGAGGGUGCGAGCGUUGUCCGGAAUCACUGGGCGUAAAGGGCGCGUAGGUGGCGAGCCAAGUCGGUGGUGAAAGCUCGAUGCUCAACAUCGAGUCGGCCAUCGAAACUGGUUUGCUUGAGCACUGUAGGGGCAGAUGGAAUUCCGGGUGUAGCGGUGGAAUGCGUAGAGAUCCGGAAGAACACCGGUGGCGAAGGCGGUCUGCUGGGCAGUUGCUGACACUGAGGCGCGACAGCGUGGGGAGCAAACAGGAUUAGAUACCCUGGUAGUCC
rnacentral:rRNA from 1 species